AUUCAUAUAGUUUAAAAUAAAACAUUACAUUUUCAUUGUAAAUAUAAUAUAAUAUAUUUAUGAAUA
rnacentral:tRNA from 1 species